rnacentral:rRNA from 1 species
ACGGUGGAGCGACGUGGUUUAAUUCGAUGCAAACCGAAGAACCUUUACCUGGGUUUGACAUGCAGGUGGUAGAGAGAAGAGAUUUUAAUCGACUCUGCAGUAAUGCAGAGAGCCUGCACAGGUGCUGCAUGGCUGUCGUCAGCUCGUGUCGUGAGAUGUUGGUUAAGUCCCGCAACGAGCGCAACCCUAUUGCCAGUUGCUAACAGGAGAGCUGAGCACUCUGGCGAGACUGCCGCCGACAAGGCGGAGGAAGGUGGGGAUGACGUCAAGUCAUCAUGGCCUUUAUGCCCAGGGCUACACACGUGCUACAAUGGCCGGCACAGACGGCAGCUUAGUGGCGACACUUGGCAAAUCCUCUAAAACCGGUCCCAGUUCGGAUUGCAGUCUGCAACUCGACUGCAUGAAGCCGGAAUCGCUAGUAAUCGCAGAUCAGCCAAGCUGCGGUGAAUACGUUCCCGGGCCUU